rnacentral:rRNA from 1 species
UUCGUAGGUGGCCAACUAAGCCAGACGUGAAAUCCCUCAGCUUAACUGGGGAACUGCGUCUGGGACUGGAUGGCUUGAGUGCAGGAGAGGAACGCGGAAUUCCAGGUGUAGCGGUGAAAUGCGUAGAUAUCUGGAGGAACACCGGUGGCGAAGGCGGCGUUCUGGACUGCAACUGACACUGAGGAACGAAAGCCAGGGGAGCAAACG